rnacentral:rRNA from 1 species
UACGUAGGGGGCAAGCGUUGUCCGGAAUCAUUGGGCGUAAAGAGCGUGUAGGCGGCCCGGUAAGUCCGCUGUGAAAUCUCGAGGCUCAACUUCGAGCUGUCGGUGGAAACUAUCUGGCUAGAGUCCGGAAGAGGAGAAUGGAAUUCCUGGUGUAGCGGUGAAAUGCGCAGAUAUCAGGAAGAACACCCGUGGCGAAGGCGGUUCUCUGGGACGGUACUGACGCUGGAGACGCGAAAGCGUGGGGAGCGAACAGG